ACGACUCCCUCUUCAUCAAAGUUUUUCUGUCGCGAGCCUUACUCCCUCUUCGCCGAAACCCUUCCUCUCUACCAAAACCUUUCGCGCUCCACCUCCCUCUCUGCCUCCGUGCUCUUCCUCCCUCUCUACCUCCAUGCUUCGCCUUCAUCUCUGUCGUACUCUGCCUUCCUUGCUUCACUCAUCAUUGCCCAAAUUCGCCGUAGGAUAGCUACACCCUCGCACUCCACAAGGCCCUUAUGUUCUUCAAUGCCUAGCGAUGCGAGUCCUCAUAGAUGACCUCUUCGGGAAAAAAGGUUUUGACGGUAUAAAAAAUGUUCCUUUGCCCCUGAUUUCUUUUGUAGCAAGGUCGAUUCCCAAACACAACAAUGUAUUGUGGAGGGGGACCUUCGGCUUGAGGGAUGGCUUCUCCAAUCAUUCGUAUGGGAAGAGUCUCAUCCGUGGAUUCUACGAUGACAGUGACGCCAUCCAAGGUCGGACCUUUUAUGAGGCAGAGGACAUGGAGGAUGUGGCUAAGGCAGUGGCGAAGUUCUCAACCAGAGGUGGUGGGCGAGCAUGCUAAGCAAACAGAGAAACCAGGGGAAAAUGCCGAAGACGGAGGAGAAGAAAGAAAUGUUAGAGUUUAACAAGAGGCAUGUGGAGGGGAGGAACAAGACCGAUAAACAGAAGAACUUUCAACUAAAGAUCCAGAAAUUGAAUCCUGUUAACACAAUUUGCUACGUUCAGAUCUUUGGAAUUGACAUGGACACACAAGAUACUUUGCCAUCAGUUUUGUUGUUUUUUGACUGACAAAGGUUCAUCUUCAAUGCUGUGGAGGUGAUAAUGAUAACAAUUAAAAAAGGAUACUUCUACUUAGAAGGUAAAAGGAAUUUUAUAACUAAAAAUUUGCUCAUAUAAUCACUAUGUUGUUGUAUUUCUAAUUAGUCUACUUCUACUUAGUAGGUAAAAGGAAUUUUAUACUUCUACUUAGUCUUGUUAUAUUUCUAAUUUCUGUGAUUCUAUACUUGUGUAUUAUGGAAUAGCUAUGUUGUUGCUUUAUUUCCAUUUCCUACCAUGACUACAAAUAGAGGUAAGUAAAUUUAGGAGAGGGCAAAUUAAAAGAAUAAAAGCAUACAGUUUUAACUUUUUAACAUAUCUGAACUUUGGAAGCAUUCAAGAAAGUGAUUAAGAAAAAAUGGUUGAUGAUUAAAUGAGAUUAAGAAAGUUGUUUGUGCUUAGGAGUUAGAAAGAGUAUGAAACUUGAGAGGUGAGCAGAGGUCAAGGGCGUGCCUACUUAGGUGGGAAGGAGUUAAAGUAUUGGAGAGAGAGGGAAAGCAAUUAAAUUUCCUUAUCUAUUAGGUUGAAGAAGAAAAAGUAAGAAGGAAUGGAGCAACUUGGAUCUCCUUUCCCUAUUUCUGUUUCUAUCCAAAAGUAGAUAGAAGGGGAAAUUUGCUAAGAAAGGUAGGCAACUCUUUUUCAUGCUUCCUGCAUGUAUUCUUAGUUUUAGUUUCGACUCAUAGGAAUACUAUCUGAGAGUUCUUAUGGAGAAGGUGGAUUGAUAAAUCUGGUGUAGAAAUUUGCUAAUCCUCAUUCUCUUUCCAUUGCAUUUUGUUCUUUUUUCUUGCAUUAUACUUUUGUUGUCUAUAUAUUUAUAAUACUUAGUAAUUGUUUCUUGUUUAUGUUUAUGUUUUUCUUGCUCAUGUUAAUAUCUUACCUGUCUUUCUUUGCAAUUGGGGGCAUCAAGCCGAUCAGACUUUAAUUGUAAAAGAACGGAAGGACUAGUCUUAUGAAUGUUAGCUUGUGAGAACCGAGUGGUCUAUUAAUGUUGGGACUAUUUUAUGCAUUCCAAUGCAAGAGAGUUAGAAGAAUCAACACAAUAAUCAGAAAUCAAUGUGGACUUUGAACUACUUACACUACUUCAGAGAGGCAUAAAAGGAGAGGAAAGGCUUGCUGCUCAUAAUUUAUUUAUCUUAUCAACUUGUAACACAAUUAUUUUUAUUGGAAAGAAAAAUUAUAUGACAUUUAUUUAUUUUAUUUUUAUAUGCCUGUAAUACACUUAUUC